rnacentral:misc_RNA from 1 species
AUAACAGCUAAUAAUCAGGACAGAGCGAACUGACUCACAAUCAAAGAAAGUUCACAAAUCUUUUUCGAAGAGCAAGUCAAUUUUCCUUGAAAAGGGCAUUUGAAAAAAUUUUCCCUAUAUAAAUUAUUUUCCCUAUAUAAAGUAUAAUAAUUUGAGCAUGCUAUUAAAAGAAAAUUUGUUGAAGUUAUCAAAUAAGUGCCUAUAUAAAUUAUUUUAUUGU